rnacentral:misc_RNA from 1 species
GAUGAAGAACGCAGCGAAAUGCGAUAAGUAAUGUGAAUUGCAGAAUUCAGUGAAUCAUCGAAUCUUUGAACGCACCUUGCGCUCCUUGGUAUUCCGAGGAGCAUGCCUGUUUGAGUGUCAUUAAUAUAUCAACCUUCUCUUUUUUGAGUUGUUUGGAUGUGGGGGUUUGCUGGCCUCUUAAAUGAUUCAGCUCCCCUGAAAUGCAUUAGCAGAACAACCUGUUCAUUAGCGUGAUAAUUAUCUAUGCUAUUGAAUGUGAGGGCAGUUCAGCUUUCUAACCGUCCUUGGACAAUUCAUCAUUAAUGUGACCUCAAAUCAGGUAGGACUACCCGCUGAACUUAAGCAUAUCAAUAAGCGGAAGA